CACGUAGGCGGUCCGUUAUGUCGGGUGUGAAAGCCCUCGGCUUAACCGAGGAAGUGCAUUCGAAACUGGCGGACUUGAGUACCGGAGAGGGUCGCGGAAUUCCCGGUGUAGAGGUGAAAUUCGUAGAUAUCGGGAGGAACACCAGUGGCGAAGGCGGCGACCUGGACGGAUACUGACGCUGAGGUGCGAAAGCGUGGGGAGCAAACAA
rnacentral:rRNA from 1 species